GUGGGGAAUCUUAGACAAUGGGCGCAAGCCUGAUCUAGCCAUCCCGCGUGAGCGAUGAAGGCCUUAGGGUUGUAAAGCUCUUUCGUGGGGGAAGAUAAUGACUGUACCCCAAGAAGAAGCCCCGGCUAACUCCGUGCCAGCAGCCGCGGUAAUACGGAGGGGGCUAGCGUUGUUCGGAAUUACUGGGCGUAAAGCGCACGUAGGCGGACUGGAAAGUCAGGGGUGAAAUCCCGGGGCUCAACCCCGGAACUGCCUUUGAAACUCCCAGUCUUGAGUUCGAGAGAGGUGAGUGGAAUUCCGAGUGUAGAGGUGAAAUUCGUAGAUAUUCGGAGGAACACCAGUGGCGAAGGCGGCUCACUGGCUCGAUACUGACGCUGAGGUGCGAAAGCGUGGGGAGCAAACAGGAUUAGAUACCCUUGUAGUCC
rnacentral:rRNA from 1 species